CCUUUUUUUUAUUGAGGUAAAUGCAUAACGUUACAGUAAAGAAAAAUCAUAGGAGAAGCACAUAUAUGACAUGGUAAUUCACAAGUGUUUGGUUAUACCUCAUUUUUUUUGUAUGAUAAAAACAGGCUAAAUAUACAGGUUUGUACGUUGGUAAGAGCAGGCUCAAUUCCGGCACGAACUCUGCCCUUUUGACAUUCCUUUGGAAUCGUGACAUAUAAAAUGUAUAUGAAUUACAUGCUCCAUUACAUUAUGAAAUUGUUAGUCUAAUUAGCAAUCACUUUGGACUUUCUGACCAGAAUCCGAAAAUAAAUAAAACAAAUUUAGAUGGAAUCUAUCGUUGAGAUCCUGGUCGGAAACAUUAUUUCUCUGUGUUACUUACACUUUUUUGAAGACACAAAUUAUAAUUUAGACACACUACAAAAAUGGGAAAGGGAAUUCGAUAUUUAAAUCACUUUAGAAGAAUGGUUCUGUUUCUCGUUAUCAUUAAAAAGAAUAACUCAAUGCACGAUCUUAUUUAAAAAAAAAAACAUUUUAAAAUAAUACAUUGAUGGUAUCUCAACCCUGCUAGACUAUUCCAAUCAGACCUCUGUUGGAGAGGCUGUGGACAAGUAGGUUCCUUAACAUAUAUCUUUUGGAAUUGCCUUAAAUUUAAACCUUUCUUGGAUUCUAUGCAUAAAUUAACUAAUACCAUUACAGACACUGUUUUAACUCUUUCACCUGUAAUUUGUUAAUGUAAAAUAUUCCCCAACAACAUAUCCAAUACUCAGAAAGUUGUGCUUGGUCACCUAUUAAUUGCAGCCAUAUCUACUAUCCCACGUUAUUGGAAGUCUGACAUCAUCCCUGAUGUAAAAUUUAGUUUUAAAUUAUGAGUUUUAAAUUAUGUAUUAGAUAAU